CGCGGCCUAUCAGCUUGUUGGUGAGGUAAUGGCUCACCAAGGCGACGACGGGUAGCCGGCCUGAGAGGGCGACCGGCCACACUGGGACUGAGACACGGCCCAGACUCCUACGGGAGGCAGCAGUGGGGAAUAUUACACAAUGGGCGAAAGCCUGAUGCAGCGGCGCCGCGUGAGGGAUGACGGCCUUCGGGUUGUAAACCUCUUUCAGCAGGGAAGAAGCGAAAGUGACGGUACCUGCAGAAGAAGCGCCGGCUAACUACGUGCCAGCAGCCGCGGUAAUACGUAGGGCGCAAGCGUUGUCCGGAAUUAUUGGGCGUAAAGAGCUCGUAGGCGGCUUGUCACGUCGGGUGUGAAAGCCCGGGGCUUAACCCCGGGUCUGCAUUCGAUACGGGCUAGCUAGAGUGUGGUAGGGGAGAUCGGAAUUCCUGGUGUAGCGGUGAAAUGCGCAGAUAUCAGGAGGAACACCGGUGGCGAAGGCGGAUCUCUGGGCCAUUACUGACGCUGAGGAGCGAAAGCGUGGGGAGCGAACAGGAUUAGAUACCCUGGUAGUCCACGCCGUAAACGGUGGGAACUAGGUGUUGGCGACAUUCCACGUCGUCGGUGCCGCAGCUAACGCAUUAAGUUCCCCGCCUGGGGAGUACGG
rnacentral:rRNA from 1 species